rnacentral:lncRNA from 10 species
UUUCGCUUUUUACAAUAAAUCUUGCUACUGCUCACUCUUUGGGUCCACGCUGCUUUUAUGAGCUGUAACACUCACGGCGAAGAUCUGCAGCUUCACUCCUGAGCCCAGCGAGACCACGAGCCCACCGGGAGGAACGAACAACUCCAGAGGCUCUGCCUUAAGACCUAUAACACUCACCGCGAAGAUGUGCAGCUUCGCUCCUGAGCCCAGUGAGACCACGAGCCCACCGGGAGGAACGAACAACUCCAGACGCUCUACCUUAAGAGCUGUAACACUCACCGCGAAGGUCUGCAGCUUCGCUCCUGAGCCAGCGAGACCACGAACCCACCAGAAGGAAGAAACUCCGAACACAUCUGAACAUCAGAAGGAACAAACUCCAGACGCGCCACCUUAAGAGCUGUAACACUCACCGCGAGGGUCCGCGGCUGCAUUCUUGAAGUCAGUGAGACCAAGAACCCACCAAUUCCGGACACACCGGCACAGUGUUGACAGACAGGAAGGUAGGACAGGAAAUGUAGCUGAAAUAUAAGAACUUAACUGUCUACCAAAUGAUUACUUAUGUGAUCGUAAUUCUAUGAGUUGUCUACCUGGGAUAAAGGAUGAUGAGGAUGGGUUUCUGGCAGCUAGGACAAUUAUUUGAAAGAAAACAUCAAAAGCAAAAGAAGUCCCCAAAACAAAAGUCUUAGGAAUGAGAGCAUACGUUAGGGCAAAUCUAUAAAUUUCAAGGAAAGGAUUCUGCCAUGAGUCAGGAAAAUUCAAAGUUCCAUGACUCCUACUUAAUAUUUAAAAGAAGACGAUACUGGUUUUCUAACAGAUCAAGAAGUAAAACUAGAGGUGAUGGAUAUAAUUAAAAAUUAAAUCAAUAGUCAUGCACAAAAAUAAUAUCAGGUCUCUACUGAGGUAUGUAUUCAAACAAUGGAAACAUUGAUGGCCAGGGCCUAACGAAGCCAUUAAUAAUCAUAACAGUAGCCACUGAAUUAAUAACCACAUUGGAACGAUGGAAUGGAUAUAGUAGUCACAACCAGAAAGGUAUAAAGGACCUCUGUGUGUAGAAGAAACAGAACAAAUUAAAAAGACAGCAAUGAGAACUAUACUAAGAAACAAAACUAAGUUACAUAGCAUUAUAGCUCCUAUAGAAAAAAAUUGAGGAAUUGAUAGAUGCCUUCUGAAUGACUGAGAAUAUGGCACAGGGUAAAUAUUAUGCAGUUAAAAUUAAAUAUAAAAAAUAUACGUUUAUUCAUACACACAGAUAUGUAUGUGUGUGUGUGCACAUACGUGUUCAGCCAUUGUCUGUGAAGAAACAUAAAGAGGGUGGCCUGCCCCUCCUCUUGGGAGUUAUGUCCCAAGGAGACCUGAAGCCUCUGUCAGCCUGAGAACACAAGUUGUGGUAGUCAGAGACCCCAGUUGGGAGGCUCCACAUAGUGAUGAGGAAUGAGAUUGGGGUCCCGCUUAAAAAAGCAGUCUGGCCACAUUUUGUGGGGUCAUUGUGCUGUUCUAGGGUACCGCUUCCACCACCUGGUCGGCUUCGCCUCUCCAAAGCCCCAAGGCUGGAGCUGCUAAGUCACUCAAACAGCAAAUAUGGUGGCUCGCUCCUUCCUCUGGGAGUUUCAUCUCAGGGAGUUUUCAAAUCUCUGUAGGUCACAGAACAUCCACAGGAGUGGCUAAAGGCCCUGACUGGGAAGCUAAAUGAUGAAAACACAUGGACACAUAGACAGUAACAACACACAAUGAGACCUUUUGGAGGGUUGAGGGUGGAGGGUGGAAAGAAGGAGAGGAUCAGGAAAAAUAACUAAUGGGUACUAGGCUUAAUACCUGGGUGAUGAAAUAAUCUGUACAGCAAACCCCCAUGACACAAGUAUACCUAUGUAACAAACCAGCACAUGUACCCCUAAGCUUAAAAUAAAAUUAACUAAAAUGAAUAUAAUGGCAAAAAAAGAAAUGUAGAGAAAAAUAUCUUGAAAUUCGCAAUGGAUAGCUGCAUUUCUAAAAGCAAAAUAAGUGUGUUACCGAUAGAUAGUAUAAAAUAAUAUUUAGAUAUAAUAAAAAUGAUAAAUAACAUAGUGGACAAAAGAGGGAGUGAAAACAAGAAAAUGCCCUAACUGAAAAAACUUUAUGCCACUAACACAAAAACACUGCUAUGAUUCAGAUAAUCUGAAAAAACAAUGUAAAAGUCCUGGCAGAGAAACCAAGGAUUGUAGAUUGUAACCAAAACCCAGAUUAAAAAAACAGCGAGAACAAAACAAAAACACAAAGUAGAAAAAAAAAAUGCAGUGCACUAUAGAGUUCAGGACUGGAACCGAUCUAAAUAAACCCUCAGAUUAGGAAAUAUAUGACCUAUAUACCUGGGAGUCUCAGAUUUUGGUCACAUCAGAUGACAAUUCUGUCUAUACAACCACAUCUGUUACAUAUAAUUCCUAAAGUGAUAAAGAAGAAAAUCAAACAAUAAUAUAUUGAAUAGACAUACAAGUAAUAAUAAUUCUAGAGCAAGCAAGUCAUUGAGAAUAAAAAUAAAACAUAAAAAUGAGACUUCCUGAAAAGCAGUAACUAGGAAAUGGAACAAUGGAGACAAUUUUUAGUAUAGUCGUUAAGAAACUAUAACAUUGUAAAAAGCACCAAUUUAUGAAUGCGUAAUAGGAAUGAAUACUAUUUGAAGAAAAAAAACUCAGGAAAAUUGGAAACAAACACAAUUUAACAGAGCUCAUAAAAGAGAUAAAACUAAGUGAAAUCUUGAAAUACUUUACAUUGACCAAAUUGUAAAUACUUGUCAAUAUAACAUUACAGGAGGAUUAGAAGGUAUAACAAUAAUACAAUAUCUUUUAGACUAAAACCUUAUUAGGCAAAUAAUAUUUCCAUGUAACUCUCCAUUGGGCCAGUCUUCCAAUCUCUAUUGGAAGAAUAGAGAUUUAUUGUCGAUGUUAGGAAUUUAAAUGGAAAAUGUCACUAAAAUUGCAGGGCUGCUUCACAGCAAAAAAUAACACAUGAGAUUUUAAACAGCCCCUAAAAAUGCAUGUUAAUAAUUUAAUAUAGAGUUUGCAUUACUAGUAACAUAGGAAAGUCUUCCCCACUUGGCCUUCACAAAGAAAGGGGCCUUUAACACAGUUACUAGGUUACCUUAUAGUCUGGUAAUAGCAAACAAUCUAUAUAGAAUUUAAAUCAGACUUCAAAGGAAGAAAUAAUAGUAGAAUAUUUUAUUGAUAAUAUCAUGAUCAAGGCAGAAAAUAAGAAAUAGUUAAGAAAAAAAGCUAAUAAUUGCCAGCCUACAAAAUAGAGAGGAUAAUGUAUACUACAAAUAUCGGCAAAAUUGACAGAAAAUGUAAUUACAUUCUUAAGAUCAAGCCUUAGGAAGUUAAUUUACAACUGCAAAGAUAGUGAGAGAACUUGGGAGAUUUAUUUAACUCCAGAGGUAUGUGCUUCCAUUUCAAGGCAAAAUGAAGGCAAGACCUAGAAGGCAUCUCUAGAUCUUAAAACUGCAUAUGCUAAGGUUUUCUCUUGCUCUUUGUGAGAUGUAUUUACAGUCCCCAAAAUUAGAGUGAGAACCCAGGAUCCUUUCCAUCCUAUCUUUCCAACGUUUCCAAAACCAAAGGUUUUGCUUUCUCCUUCUGGGAAGGGAAUGGGAGGCAGACCUCUUUCUCCUAUAAAUAAGCAGAUAAAAUUCAUUUUCCUCUGUUCAAUGCCUAUGUUGCAGACUUUGUAUAAGAUAUUUGACUUGGUUUUCAGUAAGUCACCCCAGGGAUAAGAAUAGGGAUAUAAGAAAACACAUUUUUAUUAUUUGCUUUUUUAAAUUGAAUAAACAUAGAUUCUGUCUCUGAUACCUACAGAGUACCCUAUGUGUAUAUUCAAGCUAAAAUUAAUAAAGAUGAAUUUUAAAAAUGUAACAAGAACUCUUACCACAUUCUAAAUGAAGAUAAAAUUGCUUAAGUAUAGUGGACAUGUCCUCAGAAGCAGGGAUGCACUACCUAGUAUAUAAUAAUUAUUUCAAAUCCACUUCAAAGGAAUUAAUAAUUCGGAGGUCAGCAUUUGAUGAAAGUGGAGGUCUCCAGUCAGAUCUACGGAUUUAUUUCAAAGCUAUGGUAAUUCAGAUCUGGGCAGAAAUAAUGUCAGGUAGAAGUAACAUGUACCCUCUAACUACAAAGAAAAUGGUAGAAAAGAGGGAUAGACUACUAAAAACAGAUAUACAGAGAAAAAUAGUUUCAAAAUAAUUAAUGGAAAACUGAUAUAAGAACUGUGAGAUUUCAAGUGAAUAAGAAAAUAUAAAAGAGAUAAAUUUACCUUCUACAAUAUAUUCAAGUGAUUAUUAUUAUAAUAAUAUAUAUUCAAGUGAAUAAGAAUAUAUAAAAAAAGAUAAAUUUACCUUCUACAGUAUUAUUAUUCCCCACUUUUCUCCUAGAAAAGAUCCACCUUAAAAAUUAGGAAAAGUAGGCAUAAUUCUAAAUAUAUGUAUAAAUUGUGGAAAAAGACAAAAAUUAUAUGUGAUAUCUGGGGAGGUAAUAGCCAGAGAAGUCCCUGAAUAAGCUGAGUAAGCUGAGUAGCUGUAGAAAAACAGAUCAUGCCAUGGAAAAUAUAGUAUUAAUACUAAAGCCAUUCUACCCUGUUGUAAGAACACAUUAUGAAAAUAUUUGAUUAAUGCAUUCAAUUAUGAAGCUCAUAACUCAUGCUUUGCUCAAGACUACCAUAAUAUUCCUCUACUCUUUUAUCUAUUUUAAGGCCAAGAAUAUUUAUGAUAUUUGUUUCAAAUCUUCAAAUAAUGACUAUGUAAUAUUAAAAAGAGCCGCCUCAACAAAAAUAGAUGAUAGAGUUCUAGAAAACUUUGGCAUAUGUUAGGAGCAAGCUAUUACUUUAUGAAACCUGAGAAUAACACUAUAGAUUUUGAGGAGGCAUGUCAGAUAUUACCCUUAGAAGUAAAUGUUACAGAAAGCAAACUUGGUAUAGCCUAGAUGUACAGUUCACUAAUGAAUAAUUAGAAAAGAUGUAAUUACUUGACUGUAUUUCACUCAUCAGAUAUAAACUUGCAAAUUUAUUUAACAGAUGAACAACAAAACCAAACUUAGGCUGGUCAAUUGUAGGGGAUUCAGCAUCAAGAAGGAGCAGAAUACCCAAUACAUCAAGAAAAUGGCAAUAAUAAUAUAACUCUCAAAACUAUGGGCAAUCUGAACUAAACUGAUACUUGAGCUAAAAUUAUCCAAAUUAUAUAACCUGGCCCAUGUAAAAGCACUUUUUAAAAAUCAGAAAUAUUUUGAAUAUUAUAACAUCCUUCCAGACUCUGCACAACAUAUGACUUAUAGGUACACUUUUUAAGAAGCACUGGUAUAAUUACUGUACAAGGUACAUCUCUGCAUCCAUGGAAAUCCAGGAAAUGCAACUAUUAUGAAAACUAUGUAGAUAAUAUAUGUACAACAGAAAUUUAUUACUCAUAAAUUAUUAAGAAAGGCAUACUAAACUUUUAAAUAGUGACCAAGAUAUGGAAUCAUGAUGUGGACAUGUGAGAAUCAAGAAAAUAUAGAUGAAACUUCCCAGAAAUGGCUUGUGAAUCUCAUGAUUUGUAUAUGAAUCUAAAAAGAAAUUCUCCUCCUCCAUCCAAAUAAAUCUGUGUUGAAAGUGUUUUCAUUCUACCUUACCAAAUUGUAAACAUGUUUUUAAGAAAUAGUAUAAACAUAUUUCUGUAAAGCUUGUGUUUGAACAUGUUGUUUUGAGAAAAGUUUUAAAAAAUUAAAAACAAGUUUUUACCAUAAAAUAAGUAAUGUAAACAAGAUGAUUGCUUUGGAAAGAAAUUUUGGAAUAGCGCUGAACAUUGAUAAAGUUUGUGCUUAGACACUUGGCUGCUCAAAGUGCAAGUUUUAGCAUUAAGGCCCAUCCAACCAAACUGUCAUUGAUCAUCACUUAUGGAGCAUUCCUGAUGAAGAAUACUGAAAAACUUUUUCAGACUGAGGCAACAUAUCAUUAGGAUACUUCAACCUCUUUCUGCAAGUCAUAGAAAGAAUAUCUUGCUAACAGAGGUCACACUUCUUGACAUAGCAGUGGCUCAAGCAGUGGCAGACUGUUUCUGACAAGAUAGUAGGCCCCUAUAGCGUUUUUCUCUUUCCACUGGCUCAAAACCUACUUGGCUGGUUGAAGAAAAAUAAAUGUCAAUAUUGUUCUCAUUAAGUAUCUGCAUGUGUGUUGGAUUGAUCAUUUUUCUUGGCCUUAGUAUCUUAUCAUUUAGCAUCCCAAACCUGAGAGUAUUACUUUUAACUUUGAGUCAUUUAUAAGAACCCAGUAAUUCUUCUAGCUAUGUGCCGAAUAUAAAUACAUAUCCACUAGCAUAUAUGCUAAUAGCAGCAAUUUUCUUAAUAGCUGAAGAUUGGGUGCAAUUCAGAUAUUCAUCACUAGGAGAAUGGAUUAUUACAGUGUGGUAUAUUUUAGAUCAUGCAAUACUAGAGAACAAUGCAACGAAACAAAUUGAACAUGUUUUUAUGACUGAUGUGGUUUGGCUCUGAGCCCCCACCCAAUCUCAUCUUGAAUGGUAAUCCCUGUGCAUUGGAGGAGGGGCCUGGUGGGAGGAGACUGAAUUGGGGGCAGACUUUCCCCUUGUUGUUCUUGUGAUAGUGAGGGAGUUUUAUUGAGAUCUGUUUUUUUUUUUUUUUAAUGUGUGUGGCACUCCCCAUUUUUUUCUCUCUCUUUCUUGCUGCCAUGAGAAGAUAAGCUUUGCUUCCCCUUCGCUUCCCACCAUGAUCAUAAGUUUCCUGAGGCCUCCCAGUGAUGCUUCCUGUGAAGUCUGGAGAACUGGCUGGAAAUUCUAUUAAGGAAAUGGCUGCGUCUUUUUAAAAUCAC